GGACAAGUCCUCAUUCCACAUUCUCAUGAGGUCUGAUUGUCUUCACCAGAAGUUUGCUUGAGUAAGGAUUAAAGGAAAACUCAGCUAUAAUAACCCGCAGAAUACCUCGUCACCAGGAGAAGUAUGGUGAUGGAGUUUGGGCUGUAUAAUUAAGACAAGGCAAUUGUUGACAGUGAACUUCCUAAGGCUAUUGUAAAUCCUCUUCCCAAAGCUUGUGGGGCUCAAUUGUGGAAUUGUCUCUAAGAUGCUAAUAGGAAUAAAAUUUUUGUUUCAGCCUGA